ACCAAUUCUGGAGGAUAAAUAUAGUUCCUCUUGAUGUAAUGGCUCGGGCGCUAUAUCAAAUUGUGGCUAUCCUGAUCAAUGGUUCUUCAAUCCCAUAUGAUCCUGGAAACACCUCAUACAUUU